UCCCAAAAUAAUUUUGCACCAUUCAUAUCCAAUGUUUGACCGUUUAUUUUAUUUGAAAAAAAUUAUGAUUACUAUAUUUUUUAUUAGAUGAUAAAACAUGAAUAGUGAUUAUUUUUUAAUUUUUCAUAAUUUUUUAAAAUAAGACGGUCGAUUAAAAGUUGGACACGAAUAUCUACGGCUGUGCUUAUU
rnacentral:pre_miRNA from 1 species